UCUACCCUGCUUCAGCUAACCAGAUGGAUCACUUCUCUGGAUGUUGACAUGAACAGCCUAUGCCGGUAGAGUGGGGGACUCUGAGACAGUAACCUGCUCUAUAAGAUACAAGACACCAAACAACUUGGACAAACACUCCUGAGGUCAAGGGCCAUGGGAGGAAAGAGACUUGAGCAAGUUUAAUUGCAAGCAGGGGAGCCAUUAAGGCACUCAUAAAUUCCCUAAUUAGGCAGUCUCCU